rnacentral:rRNA from 1 species
CGAGCGGCGGACGGGUGAGUAAUGCAUAGGAAUCUGCCCGGUAGUGGGGGAUAACCUGGGGAAACCCAGGCUAAUACCGCAUACGCCCUACGGGGGAAAGCAGGGGCUCUUCGGACCUUGCGCUAUCGGAUGAGCCUAUGUCGGAUUAGCUAGUUGGUAAGGUAAAGGCCUACCAAGGCGACGAUCCGUAGCUGGUCUGAGAGGAUGAUCAGCCACAUCGGGACUGAGACACGGCCCGAACUCCUACGGGAGGCAGCAGUGGGGAAUAUUGGACAAUGGGGGCAACCCUGAUCCAGCCAUGCCGCGUGUGUGAAGAAGGCCUUCGGGUUGUAAAGCACUUUCAGCGAGGAAGAAGGCCUGGUGGCCAAUACCCACCAGGAAGGACAUCACUCGCAGAAGAAGCACCGGCUAACCCCGUGCCAGCAGCCGCGGUAAUACGGAGGGUGCGAGCGUUAAUCGGAAUUACUGGGCGUAAAGCGUGCGUAGGUGGUCGUUUAAGUCCGUUGUGAAAGCCCUGGGCUCAACCUGGGAACGGCAUCCGGAACUGUCAAGCUAGAGUGCAGGAGAGGAAGGUAGAAUUCCCGGUGUAGCGGUGAAAUGCGUAGAGAUCGGGAGGAAUACCAGUGGCGAAGGCGGCCUUCUGGACUGACACUGACACUGAGGUGCGAAAGCGUGGGUAGCAAACAG